rnacentral:rRNA from 1 species
CUAGCGUUGUCCGGAAUCAUUGGGCGUAAAGAGCGUGUAGGCGGUUCGGUAAGUCCGCUGUGAAAGUCCAGGGCUCAACCCUGGAAUGCCGGUGGAUACUGUCGGGCUAGAGUCCGGAAGAGGCGAGUGGAAUUCCUGGUGUAGCGGUGAAAUGCGCAGAUAUCAGGAGGAACACCAAUGGCGAAGGCAGCUCGCUGGGACGGUACUGACGCUGAGACGCGAAAGCGUGGGGAGCAAACAGG